rnacentral:rRNA from 1 species
UACAGGGGGGGGCAAGCGUUGUUCGGAAUUACUGGGCGUAAAGGGCUCGUAGGCGGCCAACUAAGUCACACGUGAAAUCCCCAGGCUUAACCUGGGAACUGCGUGUGAUACUGGAUGGCUUGAAUCCGGGAGAGGGAUGCAGAAUUCCAGGUGUAGCGGUGAAAUGCGUAGAUAUCUGGAGGAAUACCGGUGGCGAAGGCGGCAUCCUGGACCGGCAUUGACGCUGAUGAGCGAAAGCUAGGGGAGCAAACGGGG